rnacentral:ncRNA from 4 species
UACAGAGGUCUCAAGCGUUGUUCGGAAUCACUGGGCGUAAAGCGUGCGUAGGCUGUUUCGUAAGUCGUGUGUGAAAGGCGCGGGCUCAACCCGCGGACGGCACAUGAUACUGCGAGACUAGAGUAAUGGAGGGGGAACCGGAAUUCUCGGUGUAGCAGUGAAAUGCGUAGAUAUCGAGAGGAACACUCGUGGCGAAGGCGGGUUCCUGGACAUUAACUGACGCUGAGGCACGAAGGCCAGGGGAGCGAAAGGG